GGGUUGUGAGGUUAAGCGACUAAGCGUACACGGUGGAUGCCCUGGCAGUCAGAGGCGAUGAAGGACGUGCUAAUCUGCGAUAAGCGUCGGUAAGGUGAUAUGAACCGUUAUAACCGGCGAUUUCCGAAUGGGGAAACCCAGUGUGUUUCGACACACUAUCAUUAACUGAAUCCAUAGGUUAAUGAGGCGAACCGGGGGAACUGAAACAUCUAAGUACCCCGAGGAAAAGAAAUCAACCGAGAUUCCCCCAGUAGCGGCGAGCGAACGGGGAGGAGCCCAGAGCCUGAAUCAGUGUGUGUGUUAGUGGAAGCGUCUGGAAAGGCGCGCGAUACAGGGUGACAGCCCCGUACACAAAAAUGCACAUAUUGUGAGCUCGAUGAGUAGGGCGGGACACGUGGUAUCCUGUCUGAAUAUGGGGGGACCAUCCUCCAAGGCUAAAUACUCCUGACUGACCGAUAGUGAACCAGUACCGUGAGGGAAAGGCGAAAAGAACCCCGGCGAGGGGAGUGAAAAAGAACCUGAAACCGUGUACGUACAAGCAGUGGGAGCCUCUUUUAUGGGGUGACUGCGUACCUUUUGUAUAAUGGGUCAGCGACUUAUAUUCUGUAGCAAGGUUAACCGAAUAGGGGAGCCGAAGGGAAACCGAGUCUUAACUGGGCGUUAAGUUGCAGGGUAUAGACCCGAAACCCGGUGAUCUAGCCAUGGGCAGGUUGAAGGUUGGGUAACACUAACUGGAGGACCGAACCGACUAAUGUUGAAAAAUUAGCGGAUGACUUGUGGCUGGGGGUGAAAGGCCAAUCAAACCGGGAGAUAGCUGGUUCUCCCCGAAAGCUAUUUAGGUAGCGCCUCGUGAAUUCAUCUCCGGGGGUAGAGCACUGUUUCGGCAAGGGGGUCAUCCCGACUUACCAACCCGAUGCAAACUGCGAAUACCGGAGAAUGUUAUCACGGGAGACACACGGCGGGUGCUAACGUCCGUCGUGAAGAGGGAAACAACCCAGACCGCCAGCUAAGGUCCCAAAGUCAUGGUUAAGUGGGAAACGAUGUGGGAAGGCCCAGACAGCCAGGAUGUUGGCUUAGAAGCAGCCAUCAUUUAAAGAAAGCGUAAUAGCUCACUGGUCGAGUCGGCCUGCGCGGAAGAUGUAACGGGGCUAAACCAUGCACCGAAGCUGCGGCAGCGACACUAUGUGUUGUUGGGUAGGGGAGCGUUCUGUAAGCCUGUGAAGGUGUGCUGUGAGGCAUGCUGGAGGUAUCAGAAGUGCGAAUGCUGACAUAAGUAACGAUAAAGCGGGUGAAAAGCCCGCUCGCCGGAAGACCAAGGGUUCCUGUCCAACGUUAAUCGGGGCAGGGUGAGUCGACCCCUAAGGCGAGGCCGAAAGGCGUAGUCGAUGGGAAACAGGUUAAUAUUCCUGUACUUGGUGUUACUGCGAAGGGGGGACGGAGAAGGCUAUGUUGGCCGGGCGACGGUUGUCCCGGUUUAAGCGUGUAGGCUGGUUUUCCAGGCAAAUCCGGAAAAUCAAGGCUGAGGCGUGAUGACGAGGCACUACGGUGCUGAAGCAACAAAUGCCCUGCUUCCAGGAAAAGCCUCUAAGCAUCAGGUAACAUCAAAUCGUACCCCAAACCGACACAGGUGGUCAGGUAGAGAAUACCAAGGCGCUUGAGAGAACUCGGGUGAAGGAACUAGGCAAAAUGGUGCCGUAACUUCGGGAGAAGGCACGCUGAUAUGUAGGUGAAGUCCCUCGCGGAUGGAGCUGAAAUCAGUCGAAGAUACCAGCUGGCUGCAACUGUUUAUUAAAAACACAGCACUGUGCAAACACGAAAGUGGACGUAUACGGUGUGACGCCUGCCCGGUGCCGGAAGGUUAAUUGAUGGGGUCAGCGCAAGCGAAGCUCUUGAUCGAAGCCCCGGUAAACGGCGGCCGUAACUAUAACGGUCCUAAGGUAGCGAAAUUCCUUGUCGGGUAAGUUCCGACCUGCACGAAUGGCGUAAUGAUGGCCAGGCUGUCUCCACCCGAGACUCAGUGAAAUUGAACUCGCUGUGAAGAUGCAGUGUACCCGCGGCAAGACGGAAAGACCCCGUGAACCUUUACUAUAGCUUGACACUGAACAUUGAGCCUUGAUGUGUAGGAUAGGUGGGAGGCUUAGAAGUGUGGACGCCAGUCUGCAUGGAGCCGACCUUGAAAUACCACCCUUUAAUGUUUGAUGUUCUAACGUUGACCCGUGAUCCGGGUUGCGGACAGUGUCUGGUGGGUAGUUUGACUGGGGCGGUCUCCUCCUAAAGAGUAACGGAGGAGCACGAAGGUUGGCUAAUCCUGGUCGGACAUCAGGAGGUUAGUGCAAUGGCAUAAGCCAGCUUGACUGCGAGCGUGACGGCGCGAGCAGGUGCGAAAGCAGGUCAUAGUGAUCCGGUGGUUCUGAAUGGAAGGGCCAUCGCUCAACGGAUAAAAGGUACUCCGGGGAUAACAGGCUGAUACCGCCCAAGAGUUCAUAUCGACGGCGGUGUUUGGCACCUCGAUGUCGGCUCAUCACAUCCUGGGGCUGAAGUAGGUCCCAAGGGUAUGGCUGUUCGCCAUUUAAAGUGGUACGCGAGCUGGGUUUAGAACGUCGUGAGACAGUUCGGUCCCUAUCUGCCGUGGGCGCUGGAGAACUGAGGGGGGCUGCUCCUAGUACGAGAGGACCGGAGUGGACGCAUCACUGGUGUUCGGGUUGUCAUGCCAAUGGCACUGCCCGGUAGCUAAAUGCGGAAGAGAUAAGUGCUGAAAGCAUCUAAGCACGAAACUUGCCCCGAGAUGAGUUCUCCCUGACUCCUUGAGAGUCCUGAAGGAACGUUGAAGACGACGACGUUGAUAGGCCGGGUGUGUAAGCGCAGCGAUGCGUUGAGCUAACCGGUACUAAUGAACCGUGAGGCUUAACCUUACAACGCCGAAGCUGUU
rnacentral:rRNA from 1 species